rnacentral:rRNA from 1 species
UACGGAGGGUGCGAGCGUUGUCCGGAAUCACUGGGCGUAAAGGGCGCGUAGGCGGCGCGGAUAGUCGGCGGUGAAAGCCCGGAGCUCAACUCCGGGUCGGCCGUCGAUACUUCCGGGCUUGAGCACUGUAGAGGCAGAUGGAAUUCCGGGUGUAGCGGUGGAAUGCGCAGAUAUCGGGAGGAACACCGGUGGCGAAGGCGGUUCUCUGGGCCUUACCUGACGCUGAGGAGCGAAAGCGUGGGGAGCGAACAGG